GAAAUGCGAUACGUCAUGCGAAUUGCAGAAACUUGUGAGUCAUCAAAAUUUUGAACGCAACUUGCACUUCCCUUUUCGGGGAGUAUGUCUGUUGGAGUGUCUGUUCAUCCCCACUUCUCCCAUAACUUGUUUGUGGAAUCGAGAAAGCGCCGGCCGCUUGUCAUACGUCCAAUCUUUGGGCGACGGGCAAGUGAGUCUAGAUGACACACCCGAUCAACGAACUCGCCCCUGCUUCAGGCAUCAAAGAUUUCGGUCUUUUGAUGUUUUUAGCUCGGUCGACGCGACGUGAAAGCUCUUGUAGCUCCCAUAACGCGUCUUCAUACCAAACGAGCUUUGUGAGCCUCGGCAAUCAAAGAGUUCAUCCGACCGGACCUCCAAUCAGGCAAGAUUACCCGCUGAA
rnacentral:misc_RNA from 1 species